rnacentral:rRNA from 1 species
UACGUAGGGUGCAAGCGUUGUCCGGAAUUAUUGGGCGUAAAGAGCUCGUAGGCGGUCUGUCGCGUCGGUCGUGAAAACUUGGGGGCUUAACCCUGAGCUUGCGGUCGAUACGGGCAUGACUGGAGUUCGGUAGGGGAGACUGGAAUUCCUGGUGUAGCGGUGAAAUGCGUAGAGAUCGGAAAGAACACCAACGGCGAAAGCACUCUGCUGGGCCGACACUGACACUGAGAGACGAAAGCUAGGGGAGCGAAUGGG